AACGCACAUUGCGCCCGCCAGCAUUCUGGCGGGCAUGCCUGUUCGAGCGUCAUUUCAACCCUCGACGUCCCCCGGGACGUCGGCCUUGGGGACCGGCAGCACCCCGCCGGCCCUGAAAUGGAGUGGCGGCCCGUCCGCGGCGACCUCUGCGAAGUACUACAGCUCGCACCGGAAACCCGACGCGGCCCCGCCGUGAAACCCCCAACUCUGAACGUUGACCUCGGAUCAGGUAGGACUACCCGCUGAACUUAA
rnacentral:misc_RNA from 1 species